rnacentral:rRNA from 1 species
UACGUAGGGUGCGAGCGUUAAUCGGAAUUACUGGGCGUAAAGCGCACGUAGGCGGAUCGUUAAGUCAGGGGUGAAAUCCUGGAGCUCAACUCCAGAACUGCCUUUGAUACUGGCGAUCUUGAGUCCGGAAGAGGUGAGUGGAACUCCUAGUGUAGAGGUGGAAUUCGUAGAUAUUAGGAAGAACACCAGUGGCGAAGGCGGCUCACUGGUCCGGUACUGACGCUGAGGUGCGAAAGCGUGGGGAGCAAACAGG